rnacentral:rRNA from 1 species
GACAUAGGGCGCAAGCGUUGUUCGGAAUUAUUGGGCGUAAAGGGCGCGUAGGCGGCGGUUCAAGUCAGGCGUGAAAUUUCGGAGCUUAACUCCGAAACUGCAUUCGAUACUGCGGUGCUUGAGGACUGGAGAGGAGACUGGAAUUCAUGGUGUAGCAGUGAAAUGCGUAGAGAUCAUGAGGAAGACCAGUGGCGAAGGCGGGUCUCUGGACAGUUCCUGACGCUGAGGCACGAAGGCCAGGGGAGCAAACGGG